rnacentral:rRNA from 1 species
GACGAACGCUGGCGGCGUGCUUAACACAUGCAAGUCGAGCGAGGCCCCGCCUUCGGGUGGGUGUUCUAGCGGCGAACGGGUGAGUAACACGUGGGCAACCUGCCCCCGGCUCUGGGAUAA